rnacentral:rRNA from 1 species
UUGGAGGGCAAGUCUGGUGCCAGCAGCCGCGGUAAUUCCAGCUCCAAUAGCGUAUAUUAAAGUUGUUGCAGUUAAAAAGCUCGUAGUUGAAUUUCGGGAUCAGCAAGUUGGUCGUGCCUCUGGUACGUACUGGCUUUACUGGUUCCUCCUUCUUGAAGAACUGUAAUGUCAUUAAUUUGGUGUUGCAGGGAAACAGGACUGUUACUUUGAAAAAAUUAGAGUGUUUAAAGCAAGCUAACGCUUGAAUACAUUAGCAUGGAAUAAUGAAAUAGGACGUUUGAUCCUAUUUUGUUGGUUUCUAGGAUUGACGUAAUGAUUAAUAGGGAUAGUUGGGGGCAUUAGUAUUCAAUUGUCAGAGGUGAAAUUCUUGGAUUUAUUGAAGACUAACUACUGCGAAAGCAUUUGCCAAGGAUGUUUUCAUUAAUCAAGAACGAAAGUUAGGGGAUCGAAGACGAUCAGAUACCGUCGUAGUCUUAACCAUAAACUAUGCCGACUAGGGAUCGGAUGAUGUUAAUUUUUCAAUGACUCAUUCGGCGCCUUACGGGAAAC